AUGAUCUGGCUUCCUUCUUGUUUACACAAAACGUUGUCUGUGAUAGCUUCUAUGCGUUUCUCUUCAUGGCGGUUCAAAAUGGUAUGCAGGCUGACAGACUUUCUUGAAACCAUAAUACGUUUAUGUGUGGAGAGAAUUUCUGUUCAGUGACAUUUGCUUUUGAUGAUGCUGGGAAUUUCCCAUCCUUGAUUUAAUGUAUCCUUCGCUAGAGGUGGUUGUGGAGGAGCAAGUGGGAAUGCUUUGCACGUGUAAAAUGGAUUUUUUUUCAUCAGAGAAGGGGAGGGGCCUGUUGAGGACAUCUAGUUCAUGUCUGUGGAGUUCGACUGGGUUGUAAGCAGAUUUUAUCAAGCCCCUAAGACAGCAGAAGUGAAGGCUGGAUCAUAAGUGAUGUAGAUGAAUGAUGUCAUGUUCCUAGUUUUCUUAAGCUGACCUUUCUCUGGAAAGUGAAUAAUCUGGCAACAUCAGUUGCUUCGUAAGAGAGCUUCAUAAGGAGAGUUACGGUUGGUUUAAAGCUUCUAACAUGACUUGCAAUCUGCUUAUUGGCAACAAUCCGAUGCUUGAAGAAAUGAAAAGAAGAAAAUGCCAACCCUUAUGAAAUUACUGCUUCUUCCAAUACUACUGAUAGUAGUGGCUCCUCUAGUGAUCUCAAUUUUGUAAUCUCACCUUGUGCUUCAGUUCUUCAAGAGGUACUGGCAAACUGGGAAUGAGACCAAACAUGUUAAAUAAAAAGAAGCCUGGAGAACUGGAAUUCUAUGGGAAAAUGCCUCCUUCCCUCUCCAAUACCUGGCAAAGGUAAUCACAUACUAUCUUCAGCCUCUUCGCUCUGUCCCGUAUUGCACUGUAACACCGGACAACUUUAGAUGCUUGUGUGUCAUACUCUGUGCAGAAAACCGGCAAGAUCAGUGUAUGCAGAACCUGACCAAACUAUAUUUGAACAGAAAGAGUGAAAAUAAGCUGAAAAUACCUGAGAACGGUCCACAAAGGUGGAGAACUAGGCAUAAGGAUCUAAACUGAAGAGCGGGGAUAUUCAGAUGAAAGUCCAGAAAUCUGUGUUUGCAGAGCCCUGACAGGCUCUGGGGGAUGCUGCAGGAAUCCACUGUCCUACCAGUAGCAGCUCUCCAGAAUUAUUGCACCUGUGUAGAGUUUGAUGACUACACGAACUGUAACAGAGCUUUUCAUCACAGGAAUCCUCCCAAAAGUUGGACUUGGCUUUGGUCUAAUCUGGCUCCAGAGGAAGCUGUGGCAGCCAGAGCCCAAUCAAGGCUACUUAUAACAAACUCAUUGCACUAUCAACAUUCUCCCUAGAGUAAUGAAAACCAGCCUGGUUCUUUAUGAGCCGUGCAAAUCUGGUUUAUUGCACCUUACUGAACAAUCACUGUUGCAAAGACUCAUAUUAAAGGAAAGCAAUGGAUGCAGUUUUUUUUAAUCUGAAGAAGAGGGAGAGAAGAAAAAGGCCAAGCAGCUGUGUCUGUAUUCUUCCCUUCAGUCUGCACCGUGAAUGUUUAAGAAACUGCUCAGUUAGUUCUGCUAAAUCAUCAGGGUGUUUUGUUUACAGCAUAGUGGGUGAAUCAGUUCCUUUUCUCUUCUAUGGGCUUAAGAUGAGAAUAAAAACUCCUUAUGAAAGAAAAUAGACCCAUCCACUUUUUCUCCCCUGAUACAAGAUGCCAAGUGGCUGGGAUUCCACCUCUUCCAUCGCUUGCAAGCAAAGGCAGCCAAUAAGUGCCAGCAGGCAGCAGAUGUUUUAACUCUGAGGCAGCUAGGACAUUUUGUGGCAAGCAGACCCUGAAGAGAAUUUCUGCCAGGAACGUGUCUUCUGCUGCACGACCACGUGCAGCUCCUUCAUCUCCAGCACGCCGGAGAGCAGCCUUCCCAUAUAAACCCAGGAAGAAGGGACACCCGUCCCCUUGGCGCAAGACCAAGCUGUGUUUCAGAGGAGCUCCAGCGCAGGAGCCACAGCUGCUUCAAGCCG